ACCUCCCGAUAUUAACUUGAUUCUGAUCUGCUUAUCACAUUAGAUGCUUUAUUUUAAGAUAUGUCUGUUUUCUCAUUUGAGCUUUCUAUGAUUCAGUUAUUACAGCUUAAAGAUAUUAAAAUACUAUUAGUGGUCAUUCUUAUUUUAACUCUAUCUUUGCAUGUAUAACUCUAUAUGAAAUGCAAGUUGGACCUCUAAACACAAUUUUUAGUGC
rnacentral:lncRNA from 1 species